rnacentral:sRNA from 1 species
GCCGGGUAUGGUGGUGCACACCUGUAAUCCCAGAAGCUUGGCAGGCUGAGGCAGGAAGAUUGAGAGUUCAGAGCCAGCUUCAAUAAAAGCAAGGUGCUAAACAACUCAGUGAGACCCUGUCUCUA